rnacentral:lncRNA from 1 species
CCAAAUCUACUCUUAUAUCAUGUAAAAAAGACCUACUGAGCUAUGAUCGCACACCCAAAACCCCCAUUUGCCUUCUUCACGGAAGAAUUGUCAGCCGCCUCACGGCUGCCACAAAGUUCCUGCCAUCACCAACACGCCCACGUAUCACUGCUGUCGCUCCCCCAGGCCUACCCACUCGUCCCAUACCCUCCACCAUGUGUAAACACCACCUCUUCUCAAACUAUUCUACACAUCACUACACAUGUAUGUGACACCACUCACGUCAGCUCCAGUUGGCGUCUCACCCUACCCGUAUGGCUCCGCACCCACUGGCAGCGUACACCCCUCGCCAUCCUGGUAAACCACUCGAUUCUUGAAACUCGCUGCCGGAACGCUGAACAUCCCUGCCAAACGAUCGUACACCUCCUCAUACGACUUGAAGUUCGCCAGGUCCAGCGUCCGCCCCACCUCAUCGCCCUCUCUGAACACCUUGCAGUGCUGGAGCGCCUCGUUCGACCCCUUCUCCUUCUCCAACCGCUGCUCCUUAAACCACUUCAAGCUCCCCACCUCCGUCCCAAUCGACAGCUCUGGCCACGGCCCGCCCUCGUUCUGCCGGUACCUUGACAUCGCCCCAUCCCCCGUCCCUCCCGACGCGCCGUUCAGGUCCGCAUUGAAUCUCCUCAUCCUGUCCUUGUGCUCCAACGUGUUAUCCGACGACGAGUAACUCGUCGGCGAAACUCGCAGCCCCUCCUGGAACAGAGAAGACCCCUCCACAGAGCUGCUCGCCGAUGCCACGCACUGCUCCUGCGCAGC